AUGGCACUGCGCCGUGCUGUGCUGGGGCGCACCACACCGGUCUGCNNNNNNNNNNNNNNNNNNNNNNNNNNNNNNNNNNNNNNNNNNNNNNNNNNNNNNNNNNNNNNNNNNNNNNNNNNNNNNNNNNACUUUGCAGCCGGAGCGGCGGGAGGGGUGGGAAGGGCUGUGCCGGCCCCGCGCCGCAUCCCAUGCCGUGCUGCGCUGUGCCGCGCCGCGCUGUGCCGUGCCAUGCCGGGGUGCACCACACCGGUCUGCACCGCCCCGGGCCGUGCCAUGCCGUAUUGCACUGUGCCGUGCUGGGGCGCACGGCACCAGUCUGCGCCAUCCCGGCCCGUGCCAUGCCGUGCCGUGCCAGGCUGUAUGGCACUGUCCCAAGUCCUGCUGUGGUGCACUGCCUUGUGUCAUCCUGGUCCAGUCCGGUGCCGCUCUGGUGAGUCCUGUUCUGGUCCAGUGCCCUCCCGGUCAUAUCCAUGCCGGUGUUGGUGCCAGUGCCAGUCCGUCCCAGUCUGUUCUGUGCUGGUGCUGCUGUUGGUGUCAGUCCGUCCCGGUCCAUUCUGUGCCAGUGUUGGUGCUGGUGCCGGUCCAUCCCGGUCUGUUCUGUGCCGGUGUUGGCGCUGGUGCCGGUGCGGGUCUGUCCUGGUCCAUUCUGUGCCGGUGUUGGUGCUGGUGCCGGUCUGUCCUGGUCCGUUCCGUGCUGGUGUUGGUGCCGGUGUGGGUCUGUCCUGGUCCAUUCUGUGCCGGUGCGGGUGGCAUUCUGCUCCAGUCGGUGCUCAUCGGGUCCAUCACAGUCCAGUCCAGUCUGGUCCAUCCUGGUUGGUGCCAGUUGGGCCUGUCCCACCCCAGUCCAGUCCAGUGGGUCUGUUCUGGUCGGGUCCAAUCGGGUCCAUUAUGAUCCGGUGUGGUUUGAUGCAGUCAGUGCUAGUCAGGUCCAUUCCGGUUUGUUCCGGUCAGGUCGGGUCGGGUCUGUCCCAGUCUGGUCCGGUCCAGUCCAGUCAGUGCCAGUCGGGUCUGCUCCAGUCGGGUCUGAUCCAGUCCGUCCUGGUCAGGUUCAGUCCGGUCUGGUCCAGUCAGUGCCGGUCAGGUCCAUCCCACUCACAUCUGGUCCAGCCCAGUCCAGUUGGUGCUGGUCCAGUCCAGUCGGGUCUAGUCCGGUCAGGUCCGGUCCAGUCCAGUCAGUGCCAGUCGGGUCUGCUCCAGUCAGGUCUGAUCCAGACCGUCCCAGUCAGGUCCAGUCCGGUCUGGUCCAGCCAGUGCCAGUCAGGUCCAUCCCACUCACGUCCAGUCCGGUCCAGUCCAGUUGGUGCUGGUCCAGUCCAUUCGGGUCUGGUCCGGUCUGUCCCGGUCAGGUCUGGUCAGACCGGUCCGGUCAGGUCCGGUCCAGUCCAGUCAGUGCCAGUCGGGUCUGCUCCAGUCAGGUCUGAUCCAGACCGUCCCAGUCAGGUCCAGUCCGGUCUGGUCCAGCCAGUGCCGGUCAGGUCCAUCCCACUCACGUCCAGUCCGGUCCAGUCCAGUUGGUGCUGGUCCAGUCCAUUCGGGUCUGGUCCGGUCUGUCCCGGUCAGGUCUGGUCAGACCGGGUCCGAUCCAUCCCAGUCGGGUCUGGUCCAGUCCAGUUAGUGUCGGUCAGGUCCAUCCUGCUUAGGUUUGGUCUGGUCCGGUCCAGUCCAUGCUGCUCCGGUCCAGUCGGGUCCGCUCCGGUCGGGUCCAAUCCAGUCGAUCCCGGUCGGGUCCGGUCCAGUCAGUGCUGGUCCAGUCUAGUUGGGUCUUGUCUGGUCCAGUCCAGUCAGGUCGGGUCUGGUCUGUCCCAGCCCGGUCUAGUCUGGUCCAGUCCAGUCAGUGCUGGUCCAGUCCAGUCUGGUCCGGUCCGGUCCAGUCCAGUUGGGUCGGGUCUGGUCUGUCCCAGCCUGGUCUAGUCUGGUCCAGUCCAGUCGGUACUGGUCCAAUCCACCUGGUGCUGGUCCGAUCCGGUCCAGUCGGGUCGGGUCUGGUCUGUCCCGGCCCGGUCCAGUCCGGUCUAGUCGGGUCCAGUCCAGUCCAUCCCGUUCGGGUCUGGUCUGGUCGGGUCACAGAAUCACAGAAUGGCUGAGGUUGGAAGGGACCUCUGGAGAUCAGCUAGUCCAACCUCCCUGCUCAAGCAGGGUCCCCUAGAGCACAUUGCCCAGGAUCGCGUCCAGGCGGGUUUUGAAGAUCUCCAGCAAAGGAGACUCCACUACCUCUCUGGGCAACCUGUGCCAGGGCUCUGUCACCCUCACAG
ensembl:lncRNA